rnacentral:rRNA from 1 species
AGAGGGUGCAAGCGUUAAUCGGACUGACUGGGCGUAAAGGGCGUGUAGGCGGCUACUUAAGUCGGGUGUGAAAUGGCAGGGCUUAACCGUGUCAGGUCAUUCGAUACUGUGUAGCUAGAGAGCAGGAGAGGAAAGUGGAAUUUCCGGUGUAGCGGUGAAAUGCGUAGAUAUCGGAAGGAACAUCAGUGGCGAAGGCGACUUUCUGGCCUGCAACUGACGCUGAGACGCGAAAGCGUGGGGGGGAGCAAACAGGAUUAGAUACCCUGGUAGUCCACGCAGUAAACGAUGAGAACUAGAUGUUACCUUUUUCGGAGGGUAGUGUCGCAGCUAACGCAUUAAGUUCUCCGCCUGGGAUUACGGCCGCAAGGUUA